UAUAUACUCCCUCAGUCCGGAAAUACUUGUCAUCGAAAUGGAUAAAAGGGAUGUAUCUAGAUGUAUUUUAGUUUUAGAUACAUCCCUUUUUGUCCAUUUUGAUGACAAGUAUUUUCGGACGAAGGGAGUAUAUU
rnacentral:pre_miRNA from 1 species